rnacentral:rRNA from 1 species
AUUGAACGCUGGCGGCAGGCCUAACACAUGCAAGUCGAGCGGAAACGACAACAAAGAUUCUUCGGAUGAUUUGUUGGGCGUCGAGCGGCGGACGGGUGAGUAAAGCCUGGGAAAUUGCCCUGAUGUGGGGGAUAACCAUUGGAAACGAUGGCUAAUACCGCAUAAUAGCCCGGUUCUUCGGAGCUGGUCUCAAAGAGGGGGACCUUUAGGCCUCUCGCGUCAGGAUAUGCCCAGGUGGGAUUAGCUAGUUGGUGAGGUAAGGGCUCACCAAGGCAACGAUCCCUAGCUGGUCUGAGAGGAUGAUCAG